CAGCUGUCGAGUGGGCCUGCAGGCAGAUCCGCCCCACUGGAACCUUCAGAUGACUGUGGCCCCAGCCAAACCCCACCUGCAACCUCAGGAGAGGCUCUGAAGAGGGCUCAGCCAAAUUGCGCCUGGAUUCCCAACCCACAGAAACUUGAGAUGAUAAAAGUUCUGAGGUUAAUUUGUUGCAUAGCCACACAGAGGCAUGCCCUCUCCCGGCCUGCAGAGUUGUACACUUAGCCAACAGAAAUGCAUUUCUUCAACUCGACCCAUGUUUGGGAACACCUGCCAGGUGCAAAGCAUGUGCUGGGGUCCACAGUUGAAAGCAAGAGCUGGUCCUUCUCUUCAGGACAGCUGUCUCCAAAGUGUCUGCAGGAGGGGUGAGGGGCCCACAAAGUGCCCGCUUCGGGGGGCAGCCGACCUCACAGACAGACAGCUGAGGAGGGAGACGAUGCUCGGCUGGACACGCCGGCAGCACUGUGCCCCUGGUCCCUGAAAUACUACGGGACCAGCCCUUAAAUAGCCGCUUCACCAAGAGCCUCCCCAUGCUCCCUGCAGGGACCUCCCUGAAGAGGUAAGUCCUGGCUCACGGGGGUCCCCGGGGCGCUGCUCCCAAACCACGGUCGGUGUCCAUCUGCUUGAUGGGUGCCCGGUGCCAUGCAGGUGUCCAGGGGCAGACUUUACCUCUCCCUCUCAGGGUCUCCGGCUGGGCCUGAGAAUUAAAUGGACCUAAGACAGAUCAACAGGAGAAAAGCAUACACAUUGAUUUAAUGUAAGUUUGACCGGACACAGGGGCCUUCCUACGGAAAUGCAGAUUCCAAGAAGUGGCAAAACCUGCGUGUGUUUAUACUCGGUUGGGAGACGAGGCGAAUCUGGAAGAAGAGCCACACUGUACGGGGCGGCAGACAGGAAGGUCAGGGUUGUUUAAGCAGGUCUGUGUGGACGGAGCCACACUGUACGGGGCGGCAGAAAGGAAGGUCAGGGUUGUUUAAGCAGGUCUGUGUGGACGGAACUUCCCGGCUCUGGUGAUGAGAAUGUUCCUUUCCUCCUGGUACCGGGCGGCGGCUUUCACGUGGGACUUUUAUCUCCUGCUUUGAGGAAGCAAAGAGGAUUCAGAACACCCUUUUGCAUCCGCUGUUUUUCAAGUGCCUUCGACUCAAACCAACCCUUACACCAGGGUGGCAGUUUUAG
rnacentral:lncRNA from 1 species